rnacentral:rRNA from 1 species
GAGGAAUAUUGGUCAAUGGACGAGAGUCUGAACCAGCCAAGUCGCGUGCAGGAAGAAUGUCCUAUGGAUUGUAAACUGCUUUUGCAGGGGAAUAAAGUGCAUCACGUGUGAUGUUUUGUAUGUACUCUGCGAAUAAGGAUCGGCUAACUCCGUGCCAGCAGCCGCGGUAAUACGGAGGAUCCGAGCGUUAUCCGGAUUUAUUGGGUUUAAAGGGUGCGUAGGCGGGAUAAUAAGUCAGUGGUGAAAGUUUGCAGCUUAACUGUAAAAUUGCCGUUGAAACUGUUAUUCUUGAGAGUAGAUAAGGUAGGCGGAAUGUGUUGUGUAGCGGUGAAAUGCAUAGAUAUAACACAGAACCCCGAUUGCGAAGGCAGCUUACCGGGCUACAUCUGACGCUGAUGCACGAAAGCGUGGGGAUCAAACA